UACGAAGGGGGCGAGCGUUGUUCGGAAUUACUGGGCGUAAAGGGCGCGUAGGCGGUCAGCACAAGUCAGUUGUGAAAUCUCCGGGCUUAACUCGGAAAGGUCAACUGAUACUGUGCGACUAGAGUGCAGAAGGGGCAACUGGAAUUCUUGGUGUAGCGGUGAAAUGCGUAGAUAUCAAGAGGAACACCUGCGGCGAAGGCGGGUUGCUGGGCUGACACUGACGCUGAAGCGCGAAAGCCAGGGGAGCGAACGGG
rnacentral:rRNA from 1 species